rnacentral:rRNA from 1 species
AUGCCACCGGAUAGAGACAUUGAGUUUCUGAUAGAGCUAUUGCCAGGUACAGGGCCCAUAUCCAAGAGACCCUAUCGGAUGCCCGCAAAUGAUCUGGAGGAAAUUAAGAAGCAGGUCAAGGAGUUGUUGGAGAAAGGUUAUAUUCGAAGGAGUUCAUCACCUUGGGGAGCUCCAGUACUUUUGGUGGAGAAGAAGGAUAAAUCCUUAAGGAUGGUUGUUGAUUAUCGAGCCUUGUAG